ensembl:misc_RNA 7SK 7SK RNA
GGACUGCCAGGAUCUGGCUGCGACAUGUCACUCUAUUGAUCGCCAGGGUUGACUGGGCUGCUCUGGCUGGCUAGGAGGUGUCCCCUUCCUCCCUCUCUGCUCCAUGUGUGUCCCUCCCGAAGCUGCGCGCUCUGUCGAAGAGAAACCCAGCUCUUAAAGCACUGGGAGAAAAAAAAACUGUCUGCUUAUGUGCUUGGAGGAAAUACAUUUCAACAAUGAAGGUGAAGAUCAAGUGUUGUGGCUCAGAGAGGUAAACCAUGCCUU